rnacentral:rRNA from 1 species
UGACCUACGGGGGGCAGCAGUGGGGAAUAUUGCACAAUGGGGGAAACCCUGAUGCAGCGACGCCGCGUGGGUGAAGAAGUAUUUCGGUAUGUAAAGCCCUAUCAGCAGGGAAGAAAGAGGACGGUACCUGACUAAGAAGCCCCGGCUAACUACGUGCCAGCAGCCGCGGUAAUACGUAGGGGGCAAGCGUUAUCCGGAUUUACUGGGUGUAAAGGGAGCGUAGACGGCAGAUCAAGUCUGGAGUGAAAUCCCGGGGCUCAACCCCGGAGCUGCUCUGGAAACUGAGAAGCUAGAGUACUGGAGAG